UCUUCAGUCUGAGAAGAAUUUCUGUCUUUCAUUGAAGUUCCAAAGGCUUCUUAUUUUGAUGACUUUGCCUAAAGAAGGGAUUCUACAGCCAAAUGCUUUCUUUUUAACAUACCGAAUGAGUAAAAGUGCAAAAUAAGUACAGAACUAUCAAACAGCAACAAAUGUGCUUCUGCUGCCUACCACAGAAUUUUCCUUGGUAAGAAGAAAACCCUACAUUACAUUUCUUUUUGGCUUCUGUCUCUGCAGCCUCAGAGUUGAUGAUGAAUGCAGUCCUGCUCCACUUUGAUUCCAUCUGGCUCUGGAAGGUGUUUCUGAAGAUUUGUGAACAGCAUUUGAAUUUGUUUGUUUUUAUUUAUAUUGUCUUUUUACUAUGAUGUAUAAAUAUGUCCUGUAAUGUCAUUGA
rnacentral:lncRNA from 1 species